UACGUAGGGACCGAGCGUUUGUCCGGAAUCAUUGGGCGUAAAGAGCGUGUAGGCGGCUAUUUAAGUCCUGCGUGAAAUCCUGCGGCUCAACCGCAGACGGUCGUGGGAAACUGGAUGGCUAGAGUGCGGGAGAGGAGAGUGGAAUUCCCGGUGUAGCGGUGAAAUGCGUAGAUAUUGGGAGGAACACCAGUGGCGAAGGCGGCUCACUGGACCGGUACUGACGCUGAGGCGCGAAAGCGUGGGGAGCAAACGGG
rnacentral:rRNA from 1 species